rnacentral:tRNA from 1 species
GCUACCGUGGCUCAGUAGGUAGAGCGUCGCCUUGGUAAGGCGGAGGUCACGGGUUCAAGUCCCGUCGGUAGCU